GUCAAGCCAAGCAAUUACAGGUUU
rnacentral:siRNA from 1 species